UAUAGGCAUAGAUUAAUAGGCAGGGCCAGUGGGUGUGGAGCUGAGGUAGAUAGACUACUUGUGGACUGACAUAGAACUAUGAGAUUUCCUUUGAGCUAGCUGACUGACUGAAAUGUCUAACAAAAGUCCAGUCCAGGAAGUGCUUUUAAGAGACCACUGAGUCUUUCUGAGGUUGGAGAGUAUGAUUAUGAAUUUUAUCAUGUUUUAAUAUUAUUAGUGUUAUUAUUAUACAGGCUGAAAUAAGAGGAAAACUGAGACUAAGCCUAAGGAAAGAGAGCAGAGAGAAAUA